rnacentral:piRNA from 1 species
UGUGUCAGUGAAUGGUUCAACUUUUC